CUGGACAUGAUGCAUAAAAAAAAACAUCUGAUUACCACUGAUGGUGUUUGUAUUCAUACUGUCUGAUCCAG